AAUGGGCGUGGUGGCGCACGCCUGUAGUCCCAGCUACUUGGGAGGUUGAGGUGGGAGGAUGGCUUAAAUCCAGGAGUUCUGGGCUGCAGUGGUGUCCGCACUAAGUUCGGCAUCAAUAUGGUGACCUCCCGGGAAUGGGGGACCACCAGGUUGCCUAAGGAGGGGUGAACCGGCCCAGGUCCGAAAUGGAGCAGGUCAAAACUCCCGUGCUGAUCAGAAUAAUCCAGCAAGGUGGAGAGAAAAAUGAUUUGGAGAAUUGUUCAUAGCUAUUUUUU
ensembl:misc_RNA Metazoa_SRP Metazoan signal recognition particle RNA